rnacentral:rRNA from 1 species
AUUGAACGCUGGCGGCAGGCCUAACACAUGCAAGUCGAACGGUAACAGGAAGAAGCUUGCUUCUUUGCUGACGAGUGGCGGACGGGUGAGUAAUGUCUGGGAAACUGCCUGAUGGAGGGGGAUAACUACUGGAAACGGUAGCUAAUACCGCAUAACGUCGCAAGACCAAAGAGGGGGACCUUCGGGCCUCUUGCCAUCGGAUGUGCCCAGAUGGGAUUAGCUAGUAGGUGGGGUAACGGCUCACCUAGGCGACGAUCCCUAGCUGGUCUGAGAGGAUGACCAGCCACACGGGAACUGAGACACGGUCCAGACUCCUACGGGAGGCAGCAGUGGGGAAUAUUGCACAAUGGGCGCAAGCCUGAUGCAGCCAUGCCGCGUGUAUGAAGAAGGCCUUCGGGUUGUAAAGUACUUUCAGCGGGGAGGAAGGGAGUAAAGUUAAUACCUUUGCUCAUUGACGUUACCCGCAGAAGAAGCACCGGCUAACUCCGU